UAGGGAAUCUUCCGCAAUGGGCGAAAGCCUGACGGAGCAACGCCGCGUGAGUGAUGAAGGUCUUCGGAUCGUAAAACUCUGUUAUUAGGGAAGAACAAAUGUGUAAGUAACUAUGCACGUCUUGACGGUACCUAAUCAGAAAGCCACGGCUAACUACGUGCCAGCAGCCGCGGUAAUACGUAGGUGGCAAGCGUUAUCCGGAAUUAUUGGGCGUAAAGCGCGCGUAGGCGGUUUUUUAAGUCUGAUGUGAAAGCCCACGGCUCAACCGUGGAGGGUCAUUGGAAACUGGAAAUCUUGAGUGCAGAAGAGGAAAGUGGAAUUCCAUGUGUAGCAGUGAAAUGCGCAGUGAUAUGGAGGACCACCAGUGGCGAAGGCGACUUUCUGGUCUGUAACUGACGCUGAUGUGCGAAAGCGGGGGGAUCAAACAGG
rnacentral:rRNA from 1 species